rnacentral:rRNA from 1 species
AAUUGCCAUCAUUCAGUUGGGCACUUUAAAGAGACUGCCGGUGUUAAACCGGAGGAAGGUGGGGAUGACGUCAAGUCCUCAUGGCCUUUAUGCCCAGGGCUACACACGUGCUACAAUGGGUGGCACAAAGAGAUGCAAUCUCGCAAGAGCAAGCAAACCUCAAAAAGCCAUCCUCAGUUCGGAUUGGAGUCUGCAACUCGACUCCAUGAAGUCGGAAUCGCUAGUAAUCGCGGAUCAGCACGCCGCGGUGAAUACGUUCCCGGGCCUU